CCUACGGGAGGCAGCAGUGGGGAAUAUUGCACAAUGGGGGAAACCCUGAUGCAGCGACGCCGCGUGAGCGAUGAAGUAUUUCGGUAUGUAAAGCUCUAUCCGCAGGGAAGACAAUGACGGUACCUGACUAAGAAGCCCCGGCUAACUACGUGCCCGCAGCCACGGUAAUACGUAGGUGGCAAGCGUUAUCCGGAUUUACUGGGUGUAAAGGGAGCGUAGACGGCGGUGCAAGCCAGAUGUGAAAGCCCGGGGCUCAACCCCGGGACUGCAUUUGGAGCUGUGCUGCUAGAGUGUCGGAGAGGCAGGCGGAAUUCCUAGUGUAGCGGUGAAAUGCGUAGAUAUUAGGAGGAACCCCAGUGGCGAAGGCGGCCUGCUGGACGAUGACUGACGUUGAGGCUCGAAAGCGUGGGGAGCAAACAGGAUGAGAUACCCCAGUAGUC
rnacentral:rRNA from 1 species